rnacentral:misc_RNA from 1 species
UUUCCGUAGGUGAACCUGCGGAAGGAUCAUUACUGAGUUUUGGAUGAAGUUGUUCUGGUCUUUCAGGGCAAGUGAACGCUUCUCUCAAUCCAUCUUACACCUGUGCACCUAUCGGGGAAGACUUGGAUCUAAGUUGGGUCACGACGGCGAUCUACAGUCUCCUCUUUAUACCAAAUAACAGUUUUAGAAAGUCUUUUUUGCUUGAUGCAAACUUAAAUAAAUACAACUUUCAGCAACGGAUCUCUUGGCUCUC